rnacentral:rRNA from 1 species
CCUACGGGGGGCAGCAGUGGGGAAUAUUGGACAAUGGGGGUAACCCUGAUCCAGCCAUGCCGCGUGUGUGAAGAAGGCCCUCGGGUUGUAAAGCACUUUCAGUGAGGAAGAACGCCUGGUGGUUAAUACCCAUCAGGAAAGACAUCACUCACAGAAGAAGCACCGGCUAACUCCGUGCCAGCAGCCGCGGUAAUACGGAGGGUGCGAGCGUUAAUCGGAAUUACUGGGCGUAAAGCGCGCGUAGGUGGCUUGAUAAGCCGGUUGUGAAAGCCCCGGGCUCAACCUGGGAACGGCAUCCGGAACUGUCAAGCUAGAGUGCAGGAGAGGAAGGUAGAAUUCCCGGUGUAGCGGUGAAAUGCGUAGAGAUCGGGAGGAAUACCAGUGGCGAAGGCGGCCUUCUGGACUGACACUGACACUGAGGUGCGAAAGCGUGGGUAGCAAACAGGAUUAGAUACCCUGGUAGUC